UACGUAGGUGGCGAGCGUUGUCCGGAAUUACUGGGUGUAAAGCGCGUGUAGGCGGGAGGCCAAGUCUGUGGUGAAAUCGCUCGGCUUAACUGGGCGGGGUCCAUGGAAACUGGUCACCUGGAGGUCGGUAGAGGCAAGUGGAAUUCCCGGUGUAGUGGUGAAAUGCGCAGAUAUCGGGAGGAACACCGGUGGCGAAGGCGGUUCUCUGGGCCUGACCUGACGCUGAGGAGCGAAAGCGUGGGGAGCGAACAGG
rnacentral:rRNA from 1 species